CCCUAUUAUAAAAAUUUAAAUUAAUUUACUAAAAAAUUAAUAGUUAUGUUCUUUAAAUUUAAAAAAUUUGGCGGUAUUUUAGUCUUAUUAGAGGAAUCUGUUUAUUAAUUGAUAAUCCACGAUUAAUUUUACUUAUUUUAUUUAAUUCAUAUAUCGCUGUCAUGAAUAUAUUUAAAAAUUUAUUUUCUUUAAUUAUUUUAAUAAUUUAUGUUAAGUCAAGAUGUGGUUUAUAAAUAAGAAUAUAAUGGGUUACACUAAAUUUUAUUUUUGGAUUUAAAAUGAAAAUUAAAAUGAAAUUGGAUUUAAUAGUAAGUUUAAUUAAUUUAUUAGUAUGAAUAAAGAUCUAAAUU
rnacentral:rRNA from 1 species